UAACACCAGCGCCACAAGUGGCAACCGUUUUUAUUGGGCCUAAAGCGUUCGUAGCCGGUUCAGUAAAUUUUCUGUGAAAUCGUUGCACUCAAUGUAACGGCAUGCAGGAAAGACUACUGGACUAGGGACCGGGAGGCGUUAGAGGAAUUCUUGAGGGAGCGGUAAAAUGCUAUAAUCUCAGGAGGACCUCCAGUGGCGAAGGCGUCUAACGAGAACGGAUCCGACGGUGGGGAACGAAAGCCAGGGGAGCGAACCGGAUUAGAUACCCGAGUAGUCCUGGCUGUAAACUCUGCGAGCUAGGUGUUGCGCAUUCUUCGGGAAUGUGCAGUGUCGAAGCGAAGGUGUUAAGCUCGCCGCCUGGGAAGUAUGGUUGCAAGACUG
rnacentral:rRNA from 1 species